rnacentral:tRNA from 1 species
UGGGGCGUGGUCCAAUCGGUAGGACACCGCACUGUUAAUGCGGAUGGUAGAGGUUCGAGUCCUCUCGCCCCAGCCA